AGGAUUGGCCGGCGCCGCGGUUGCCGAGGUGACGGGUGGGUCCGGCGGGGUCCCAGCGCAGGGUGCGGCGGGGGAGAGGAUUGCCUUGCAGUUUCCGCCCCGGCCGGCCCAGGCCUGCAACGCCCUGGUUUGCGCUCCUGGGUAGCUUGAGGAGGUGGUCCCUGAGAGCCCCUCGGACCCGUAAGUCCCCCGCCCGCCUCCGGCUCGGGGCGCGCCGCCCUCCGCCUUCGUCUCCGCCCCCAGGAUCUGCGGCUGCCAGCUCCCGAGCGGGGCUUCCCCGGCCGGCGGCGCGAUGGGCUGCGGGAACUCCACCGCCGCCAGCGCGGGCGCGGGCCAAGGCCCUGCAGGAGCAGCUAAAGACGUAACAGAAGAAUCGAUAACAGAAGAUGACAAGAGGAGAAACUAUGGAGGAGUGUAUGUUGGUCUGCCAUCUGAAGCUGUCAAUAUGGUGUCCAAUCAGACAAAGACUGUGCAGAAAAAUUAGAAGAAAAAAUAUGAUUCAAUAAUCAAGAGCUUCACCCAAUUUCAGUUUUCACACGUGAGAGUUAGACAAGAUGAUUGUGGAAGCUUUGUAUGUGGAUCUGAAAUUUCCUGAUAACAGUGGAGCCACACUGCUGAUGAAUCAGCCAACAUCAGCCAAAGUUAGACGCCUGUUCAUCAAGAUCUGGAUGAAAUUUUUCCUUCAUGGGAUUUUGUAACGCGCACAGACAUUUCCAAGGAAAUUCUAAACAGUCGCCACCCCUCCCCCCAAAUUCUUAGUUGAUAGUUGAAACCAUGGGUAUAUACUGAAUGUUGUGGUACUAGAAAGGAAUUGGUUAAACAACAUGCUUGGGUAUGGAACUUUCUGUGAUCCACCUGCAGAAGACAAACUUAUGAAGGGUUCUUGCCCAGCUGGUCCCGUCCCCUCUGGGUUCUCACCUGAACAUUCCCACAGCUCAUAAAGACCAUGUCUUUUCACUGAUGCUUUUUUGAUAGUUUUUAUAAAUUAAAAUCCUUCAUCUAUUUAUAACUUAAAAUAAUAAGGCACUAUCAAUGAGUUACCCAAAGUAAUAUAUUUGUCUGUUAUUUUUCACUAUUUCUACUUCAUGUUGAUUUUUAGCUGUAAAAUUGAUUAAAUUGAUACUUCCUGCUAUCUCUUUCCCUUUUUUACUAUUGGUUUUCAGCUCUAUUUAAAUAUCAGAGGAGUUUCUUUAUUGGGAACAACGCAUUACAUGGCAAUACUUCAGCUGCUGAGGUUUGCAUGCCGUACGUACAUUUCGAUUAACUUCCUCUUUUCUUUAAUUAAAGGCUUAGUACUUCAUAGCCAUCAAGUCUCCCAUUCUACCUGUGUGUGAUCAAAGCAUCUUAUCAUGUUAAUCCUGUACUAUUUUCAAGGACUUGUCACCGGGAUGGUUAGUGGGAUAUUUGGAAAGUUCUUAAUUUGAUAACGACCUUGUGUAUCCACUUAAUACUGCAGUGUAAAUCACUCAAUUGUAUUUCGACAAUUAAAACAUUUUUAUCCCUCUUUA